AAAGGGGGGAAAUAGGAGGCUUUACAGACAUCCACAUUACUCUCUCUCUCUGCCUGUUUCACUCCUUUCAGUCUCUUUUGAAUUUUUCCAGCAGAUCCAAAAUGCCAAGCAAGAGGAAGAAGAACAAGCGUCGCAUGAGGAGGGUGCAAGCCCAGAGGAGAGCGCUUGAGGAUCAGCAUGCAGCCAAUCCACCAAUCAAAGCCAGCUCAGGGAUUGCCAUUAGUGCGCCCCCUACAGCAACUCCCAAAAAAGCAGCAAAAAUUUCACCACCCACUCGAGAAAAGCGCCCACAGGUCAUUCCCAUUUCUGCCCCUGCAGUGGAACCUCCAAAAUUUGAACCACAGCCUGUUGUGAAAGAAGAAGCAGCAGAGGCCUUUGUGGCUGAGGUAGCUGCAUCAGAUGAUGGUGUGCUGUUGGAGCAGGCUACUGUGGAGGUGGAAUCCAGAGUGGGGGAUGAAGUUGAAGGUCCAGCUCGUGUCGCAAAAGAAGCACCAAUUAAAAGUAUUCCUCCAGCGGAACCCUCUACGGUUGAAGAUGAUCUGACGAAGGAGGCUGAAGUUCCUGUUCCUGAAACAAAGCCCGUCUCUGAGGUUACAACCCCAGGCGAGGCUCCAGUGGUGGUUGCUGCAGAAGCUGAAACAGAAGACAAUGAAGACGCACAGACAGAAAUGGGUCAGACACAGGAUGUCUGCGAGGCAGAAGAAGACACUGAGACCAAGGAGGAACUCGAAGUGUCCAUAACUGAAGAAGUAACCAUAUCAGAGUCAGUAAAGGAACAGGCUGAAGAACCAGUGGGAGAAGAUCUUACCAGUGACCAAAGUCCUGCUGAAGUAGGACAUGCUGCAGAAAAAACUGAAUCUGAUACUGGACCAGAGGUGGAGGUUGUCAUAGAAAGACUGGAGUCGGCAGAGCCACCUGAGGAUGGGGAGGAAAAACUGGAAGACUCAGCUGCACUCAGUGUCCAAUCUGUUGCAGCCAUAGAGGGUGCUCUUGGCCAACCUGUGGAAAUCCCAGCAGUGUUAAAUACGAUCACUGAAGCUCCUUUGGAUGAAGCUGACCCUCCUGUUGUUGAACAUUCAGAGGGAUCUGCUGACCUGCUGCUCCAACAAUUAGCGGAUACUGAAUCUGUGUCAACAGUGAAGGAUGUUUCAACGUCUGCUGUUGUGCAGCAGGAAGCUGAGGGAACAGGGGACACUUUCAUCCCCCAAACAGAAUCAACGGAUGCUGCUCCUGCAGAACCUGAAACAGAUUCUGCUGCUCCUGCAGGAGAGAUUGCUGCUGCCAACCAAAAGUGUCUGGAUGUGUCGUCAGAAGAAGUGAAAUCCGGAGGCUGUGAUGUUCCAUGUCAGGGACAGCUUCCUGUUGAGGCUGUGCAGCUUGGUGGAGCGGAGCUUUCAGUGGAAAUAACACAGAAUGGAAACAUUGUUCCUGAGGUCUCCAUGGAGGGUUAAAGCCAAGGCACACAGCUCAGAAAACCGUUUUCUAUGUGUAAGACUCUAAAAAUUCCCGUUGGAAGACUCAAAGCUUUUUCCAGGGAGUCAAGCAGACCUUUUCAUUUUUUAAGGCUUAAAGGCAGAACAGGCAGGAAAUCGAAGUGGGCAUCCACACUUUGAAGUGCCUUUUCCUGUCCUGUACUCUGCUGAAACAGCAAACCAGAUGUGAACACGCAGAAACGGCUUCUCUCACGACAGCAGCUGAGACCUAUGAAAAAAAAGCAAACAUCUUUGGUUCUUUUAAAUACUUUGCUAUGCAACAAAAUCACAAAAAAAUGAGUUUGACUAAUAUUUCAGGAGAAGGUGCUGAAGGCACGACAAUCAGCAAAAGAAAUAUUUUUGCAUCUUCUGUCUCAGAAUAUCUUCCUCCACAGUGCAUAGACUUUAUGCAUAUCAGUAGACUUGUAGCAUUGAUAAUUGAAUCUGUAGUUUGUUUGUUGGACAGUGUUGUUUUUUUGAAAGUCACUCGUUUAGCUUACCACUCUCUUUAAACCUUCCAAUAAAAUUAAAACUGGGCUAAUUUUGAUCAAAAACAUAUUUUUUACAUAUUUGGCAAAUGUGUGGAAAAAAAAGUAAUGUUUUAAGAUUUGUUCUUAACUGAAACAUGACAAUAGUCAUGUUUCAUGACUACAUUUUGCUUUACCAAGGAUUUGGUGAAGCACCAUCUCCCACCACAAUUUUUUGCAGUUGUUUACAGCAGGUUUUGUGGAGAGAAAUUAAUUUGGGUUCACACUAAACAAAGAUGGCAAAAUAAUUGUUUUGCUCAUAUUCUUUAACAGAACCAUAGUUCAAAAAUUCAUGAGUCCAUUUCCUUUACUGUCUACCAUUGUUCACUGUCUUGACAAAGUGCCACUGUUAAUGUUACAAAGCUGCAUUAUAAAGAGCAAGCUUUGAUAUUGAACAGAAUAUUGAAUAUCAAAAUUAAUUUCAUAAUUCAUUUUGUAUACACCGAGUAAUGCAUACACGAUUGUUAAAAUGGGUACUUUCUGAGUUAUUGUUGGGCUGUCUUGACUUGUGAAAUAAAGUUAUAACUCUGUGAUUUGA